rnacentral:rRNA from 1 species
GGGACCCGCACAAGCGGUGGAUGAUGUGGUUUAAUUCGAUGCAACGCGAAAACUUACCCACCUUUGACAUGUACGGAACUCGCCAGAGAUGGCUUGGUGCUCGAAAGAGAACCGUAACACAGGUGCUGCAUGGCUGUCGUCAGCUCGUGUCGUGAGAUGUUGGGUUAAGUCCCGCAACGAGCGCAACCCUUGUCAUUAGUUGCUACAUUUAGUUGGGCACUCUAAUGAGACUGCCGGUGACAAGCCGGAGGAAGGUGGGGAUGACGUCAAGUCCUCAUGGCCCUUAUAGGUGGGGCUACACACGUCAUACAAUGGCUGGUACAAAGGGUUGCCAACCCGCGAGGGGGAGCUAAUCCCACAAAGCCAGUCGUAGUCCGGAUCGUAGUCUGCAACUCGACUACGUGAAGUCGGAAUCGCUAGUAAUCGUGGAUCAGAAUGUCACGGUGAAUACGUUCCCGGGUCUU